AGUUGAUAAAAACUUUAUGACGCAGCCUUAACGCCGAUUGAUUAGUUCACUUGUACAAUACAGUAUAUCUUCUGGUUUAUAAAAGUCUUGGUUAAUAAAAUGUGUAAUGCCUCCAAUAUUCAAAUUUCCCUGUAUUUAACCCUACUAUGUGCUGCUGACACCGAAUGAUAACGAACAGACGUUGGCAUACGACAAAAGCAUAGGAUUCAAGUGAGAAAGAGAGAAGUGCAGUCUUCAUCCCUUUCUUCACUGGACUCUUCUUUCCGUGAGCUGGAGAAAAUGAAAUAUUUAGACGACUAUUCCAACAGUUGUUCCCUCUCUUCAAUCCAUUGUCUGCAGCAAAUUUGCUUUAGCUGUGGCAAUACAAAUUGAAUUGUGGGAGAGAGAAAGAUUGAAAGAAACAGCCUGAAUGAUAGAAGAAGGUGCUGAGAACCCCCUCCCAUGCUUCACUAAGUGAUUACCGACCUGAAUGCUAAUGAGGAAUGAAGGGGUUAGGGGAAGAACAAUUUGGUAUCUCCAAUUCACCUAACUUGCAAGUUUUUUGGCCUGUGGGAGGAAACCAGAGUACCUGGAGUAAACCCACACUGACACAAGGAGAACAUGCAAGCUCCAGACAGAAAGGCCACCUGACCUAGCCGGGGCUCAAAACAGGGACCUUCUUGCUACCCACUGAGCCACUGUGCCGCCCCUACUUUAUACUGUAUUCAGCGCCAUAUAAAAUCACACAUAAAAAUACUAAAAUAACAAAUUUAAUAAAUAAAUA